rnacentral:rRNA from 1 species
GACGAACGCUGGCGGCGUGCCUAAUACAUGCAAGUUGAGCGAUGAAGAUUGGUGCUUGCACCAAUUUGAAGAGCAGCGCACGGGUGAGUAACGCGUGGGGAAUCUGCCUUUGAGCGGGGGACAACAUUUGGAAACGAAUGCUAAUACCGCAUAACAACUUUAAACAUAAGUUUUAAGUUUGAAAGAUGCAAUUGCAUCACUCAAAGAUGAUCCCGCGUUGUAUUAGCUAGUUGGUGAGGUAAAGGCUCACCAAGGCGAUGAUACAUAGCCGACCUGAGAGGGUGAUCGGCCACAUUGGGACUGAGACACGGCCCAAACUCCUACGGGAGGCAGCAGUAGGGAAACUUCGGCAAUGGACGAAAGUCUGACCGAGCAACGCCGCGUGAGUGAAGAAGGUUUUCGGAUCGUAAAACUCUGUUGGUAGAGAAGAACGUUGGUGAGAGUGGAAAGCUCAUCAAGUGACGGUAACUACCCAGAAAGGGACGGCUAACUACGUG